GUGGAAAGCAGAGAAUAAAUCCUGGAUAAAUAGACGGACGGCAGGAAGCGAGGCGGAGGGUCAAAGGUCAUGCAGACAGACGGCAGGCAGGACGACAUGAGGGAGGCAGAAACUCAGCAGCGUCACUUUAACAAAGAGCAAAGAUUUAAGUUAAAGUCCAGAAGGUUCAGUUAGGGAAUAAAAGCCCAGUUUUAUUUUUUAAAUGAGUUGAUUCAGAUUUAAAGUUUGAUAAAAUGUUUUAACUCUUUCAUCACAAACUCCAGGGAAAGCUUUGGGGAUUUUAUGUGAUCAACAAAAAUCAGCACAAAAUUGUAAAGUAUUAAUUUUUGUUUUUGCAAAAAAUCAAUUCUCACAGUGUGAUCUGCUUAGUUUUAGACCCCAUUACUCUGAUACCUAUAAAUAAAACCCAGCUGCUUCAGCUUGUUAGAGAAUCGAUUUGUUUGAGUAGAAAUCAAAGUGUUCAUUAUUAUUUUAAUUUUUCCUUCCUGAUGUUGUUUCCAGUCAAUCCUGAAUGAGUGAAGCACCCAAGAGGCUCAAAGCGCAUUAUCCAUCAGAACGGUCCAGUCAAAGCCCGGAUCUUAACCCAAUCAGAACAAGAGAUGAGCAUUUCUGUGCCUUAGAGACACAGAAGAAAGGUGGUGACCUGAAGACUAAUUCCUGCCACACCUUUUAGAAAAUACUUCACAAAUGAACUUUUAUUUUUCUCCCAGUUUGCGGCGAUGCGCUGCUGUUGGUCUGGCAGG